UACAGGGGGGGCAAGCGUUGUUCGGAAUUACUGGGCGUAAAGGGCUCGUAGGCGGCCAACUAAGUCCGACGUGAAAUCCCCAAGCUUAACUUGGGAACUGCGUCGGAUACUGGAUGGCUUGAAUUCGGGAGAGGGAUGCAGAAUUCCAGGUGUAGCGGUGAAAUGCGUAGAUAUCUGGAGGAAUACCGGUGGCGAAGGCGGCAUCCUGGACCGACAUUGACGCUGAGGAGCGAAAGCUAGGGGAGCGAACAGG
rnacentral:rRNA from 1 species